rnacentral:rRNA from 1 species
UACGUAGGGGGCAAGCGUUGUCCGGAUUCAUUGGGCGUAAAGAGCGUGUAGGCGGCCAGGUAGGUCGGUUGUGAAAACUGGAGGCUCAACCUUCAGAGGUCGACCGAAACCAUCUGGCUAGAGUCCGGGAGAGGAGAGUGGAAUUCCUGGUGUAGCGGUGAAAUGCGCAGAUAUCAGGAAGAACACCCGUGGCGAAAGCGGCUCACUGGUCCGAUACUGACGCUGGAGGUGACGAAAGCGUGGGGAGCAAACAGG